GGCCCUGGGGUGUAACCACGUGGGGUUGCAAACCCUAAGAUGCAGAUAAUAUCUGCCGGGGCUU
rnacentral:tRNA from 1 species